rnacentral:rRNA from 1 species
UGAGCAAUCUGCCCUUCUCUUUGGAAUAAGCGUUGGAAACGACGUCUAAUGCCGAAUACGACCUCCUUUCGCAUGAUCGGAGGUGGAAAGCUCCGGCGGAGAAGGAUGAGCUCGCGGCCUAUCAGCUAGUUGGUGUGGGUAAUGGCCCACAAGGCGACGACGGGUAGCCGGCCUGUGAGGGUGACCGGCCACACGUGGGACUGAGACACGGCCCAGACCUCCGUACGGGAGGCAGCG